rnacentral:tRNA from 1 species
GCCCCUGUAGCUCAGAGGACAGAGCAGCAGCCUUCUAAGCUGACGGUCGCAGGUUCGAAUCCUGCCAGGGGCG